UACGUAGGGGGCUAGCGUUGUCCGGAUUUAUUGGGCGUAAAGAGCGUGUAGGCGGCCAGAUAGGUCUGCUGUGAAAACUCGAGGCUCAACCUCGAGCUGUCGGCAGAAACCAUCUGGCUAGAGUCCGGAAGAGGAGAGUGGAAUUCCCGGUGUAGCGGUGAAAUGCGCAGAUAUCGGGAAGAACACCUGUGGCGAAGGCGGCAUCCUGGACCAAUAUUGACGCUGAGGAGCGAAAGCCAGGGGAGCAAACGGG
rnacentral:rRNA from 1 species